CCUACGGGCGGCAGCAGUGAGGAAUAUUGGUCCCUGGGCGCGAGCCUGAACCAGCCAAGUCGCGUGAGGGAUGACGGUCCUACGGAUUGUCAACCUCUUUUGCCGGGGAGCAAGCGUGCGUUCGGGAACGCGAGUCGAGAGUAACCGGAGAAAAAGCAUCGGCUAACUCCGUGCCAGCAGCCGCGGUCAUACGGAGGAUGCGAGCGUUAUCCGGAUUUGUUGGGUUUAAAGGGUGCGUAGGUUGUUUUUUAAGUCAGCGGUGAAAGGUUGUGGCUCAACCAUAAAAUUGCCGUUGAAUCUGGAAGACUUGAGUGUGUUUGAGGGAGGCGGAAUGCGUGGUGUAGCGGUGAAAUGCAUAGAUAUCACGCAGAACUCCGAUUGCGAAGGCAGCUUACUAAGCCAUAACUGACACUGAAGCACGAAAGCGUGGGGAUCAAACAGGAUUAGAUACCCUGGUAGUC
rnacentral:rRNA from 1 species